CUCCUCUCAGGAUCACACCUGGAGAGUUUCCAGUACCCUACUAGUCUCAUUUAUGGGAGGGAGAGUCAAGCAGAGGGUCAUAUCCAUUCCAUUCCUAGCUUGGCCAGUGGCUAGUGAGUGGAAGGCAAUCUGCUACAAGU